rnacentral:rRNA from 1 species
GAUGAACGCUAGCUACAGGCUUAACACAUGCAAGUCGAGGGGUAACGAGAGGAAAGCUUGCUUUCCCUGUCGACGACCGGCGCACGGGUGAGUAACGCGUAUCCAACCUGCCCCCAACUAGGGAAUAACCUUGCGAAAGUAAGACUAAUACCCUAUAAUUUCCUCAGAUGUCAUCUGACGAGGAAUAAAGAUUUAUCGGUUGUGAUGGGGAUGCGUCUGAUUAGCUUGUUGGCGGGGUAACGGCCCACCAAGGCAACGAUCAGUAGGGGUUCUGAGAGGAAGGUCCCCCACAAUGGAACUGAGACACGGUCCAAACUCCUACGGGAGGCAGCAGUGAGGAAUAUUGGUCAAUGGGCGGAAGCCUGAACCAGCCAAGUAGCGUGCAGGAUGACGGCCCUAUGGGUUGUAAACUGCUUUUAUACAGGAAUAAAGUUAGCCACGUGUGGUUAUUUGUAGGUACUGUAUGAAUAAGGACCGGCUAAUUCCGUGCCAGCAGCCGCCGUAA